UCCUCAAACUAACGUUGGCUGAAAAGUUUCUUUUUAAUGGUGCCUUAAAUUACUUAGGUUUGGCUCAUGCUAAAAUAGUGAGGUGGCAAGCAUGCAUGGGGGUUUAGGUGUCAACUUCUAAGUGGCUCAUCCUUGUUAAUGACAUAUGUCCUCCAUUUUAUUUUAUUUUUUAUUUACUCAAUUCUGAAUAUUCUAUAAAUCAUCUCAAACUUUUAAUAUUUACUCUUAGGUCCUUAGCCAUAAACUUUAAUAUA
rnacentral:lncRNA from 1 species